GGUAUCCGCGAGGGACUACGAGCACCAGCUUAAAACCCAAAGCAUUUGGCGGUGUUCAGACCCCCCUAGAGGAGCCUGUUCUAGAACCGAUAACCCCCGUUCAACCUCACUACCCCUUGCUAUUUCCGCCUAUAUACCACCGUCGCCAGCUUACCCUAUGAAGGCACUAAAGUAAGCAAGACGAGCACUGCUCAAAACGUCAGGUCGAGGUGUAGCGUACGAGGUAGGAAGAAAUGGGCUACAUUACCUGAAAUAGGUUAUUACGAAAGGGCCUUCUGAAAAAAAUACCCUGAAGGUGGAUUUAGCAGUAAAGAAGAAGUAGAGUGUCUUCUUGAAGUUGGCUCUGAAGCGCGCAC
rnacentral:rRNA from 1 species